GGGGGAAAGAAGGUUAGAUGACCAUCCAAACUUUGGCGAUUCGUCAUGGAUAACUUGGGUGCUGUCUUUUUAAAGUUUGAAGUUGACCUUCAUAUAUGCUUUCGAAUUGUUUGAUACAAUGCCUCAAAGAAAAGUUGCACUUCUUAUUAUUUCUUUUUAAAAAUAUUACGUGGCCAAAACGAUGUUGUUGUGGGUCAUGUUACUUUAUAUAAAAAAAGAGAGGAUACGCUAGAACUUUAAAUCCAAUCCCACCAAACUCAAUUCUUAACGUCCAAACUCCUACCACCCCACUUUGGCGAUCAUUCUAACGACCACCUAAAUUUCAUCUUUCAAAUUCCAAAGUUUAGAUGUUUUAGGUUUGACUUUAGAGGGUUUCAUGUCCCCCCUAUUUUCUUUGAAUCUUUCUUGUUUUGGUUUCAAGAGGGUAAAGUUUAUGUCCUCUUUUCCUUCAUGCAUUUUUUUUUUCUUUUCUAUGUGGCAUAAAGUUUAGGGUAAAUUACACUUUAACCCAUCAGGUUUGAGUGCAAUUACAAUCUCAUACAAUAUCUUUAAAAUUUUCAAUAGCAUACAUUAUUUAUUAUUUUAUUACAAUUUCAUACAUUUGUUAAAAGUUCUAUCAAUUUUUCUGUAAUAUGCCUACGUGGCCGUCGUGGAUCCCACAAAUUUGUGCCACAUGAAUAAAAAAUAAAUAAUAAUUUUCAAAUAAAAUUUCUUGGGAAGUCUUCUUCCCCAAAAAUAAAAGUUAUGGGUCUCUUCUUCCUCGAACCCCCCUUCCCUCCCCCAUUUCAAUUGCCACACACUCCAUUUUGCCGCUCUUAGCUCAAUUGCCACACACUUUUCCUUCUCUCUCAUCCUACUUUUUCUCUCUCUAAAACUCAACCCCCUAUCUCUUUCUCUCUCUGCAUAGUCUGUGACUUCCAACGAUGGUGCUGCUGACGUCGAUUCUGCAGCUCCUUCACUGUUCUAGCAAUAGCCACUCCCCGUCGCCCAACCUUUUCGUAUCGGCUCUUCCUUGUCGAUUUCAUCAGCUUAUACAGUAAAUCGAAGCGGAUUUGCAAGAAAUUCAGAGCCGCCCCAAAGAGAAACAACAAGUCUUGAUCAAAUUUACCGUCGAAGCCUCCCUCUUCGCCUCUGAUGUCUGUCCUUCCCAUCUUAUGGGUUCUUGCAGAAGUUGUGGGUUUUUCUUGGGUAGUGUGGAUCUGGGUUCGUACAGUUUGGUGGGUUGCGAUGGAUUUAUGUGGUUUGAACUUUGAACCACUUUUCAAUAUUUGCUUCAAUUCUUUGAAAUUCAUAGAUUUCAAAGCAUUUUUGGGUGUUUUGUAGAUGGGUGGGUUGCAAUGAAUUUUUUGUUUUAGGGCUUAAUGCUAGCAAGGUGGAGACUUGGGAUGGUAGCAGCGCAAAUUGAAAGGGAGGAAGAAGAAAGAUGA